AGAGUUUGUUCCUGGCUCAGGAUGAACGCUGGCGGCGUGCUUAACACAUGCAAGUCGAACGAAGAUGCCGGAGUGCUUGCUCUUUGGCAGACUGAGUGGCGGACGGGUGAGUAACGCGUGGGUAACCUGCCUUAUACAGGGGGAUAACAGUUGGAAACGACUGCUAAUACCGCAUAAGCGCACGGUAUCGCAUGAUACAGUGUGAAAAACUCCGGUGGUAUAAGAUGGACCCGCGUCUGAUUAGCUUGUUGGUGAGGUAACGGCCCACCAAGGCGACGAUCAGUAGCCGGCCUGAGAGGGUGAACGGCCACAUUGGGACUGAGACACGGCCCAAACUCCUACGGGAGGCAGCAGUGGGGAAUAUUGCACAAUGGGGGAAACCCUGAUGCAGCGACGCCGCGUGAGUGAUGAAGUAUUUCGGUAUGUAAAACUCUAUCAGCAGGGAAGAUAAUGACGGUACCUGACUAAGAAGCACCGGCUAAAUACGUGCCAGCAGCCGCGGUAAUACGUAUGGUGCAAGCGUUAUCCGGAUUUACUGGGUGUAAAGGGUGCGUAGGUGGUAUGGCAAGUCAGAAGUGAAAGGCUGGGGCUCAACCCCGGGACUGCUUUUGAAACUGUCAAACUAGAGUACAGGAGAGGAAAGCGGAAUUCCUAGUGUAGCGGUGAAAUGCGUAGAUAUUAGGAGGAACACCAGUGGCGAAGGCGGCUUUCUGGACUGAAACUGACGCUGAGGCGCGAAAGCGUGGGGAGCAAACAGGAUUAGAUACCCUGGUAGUCCACGCGGUAAACGAUGAAU
rnacentral:rRNA from 1 species